AAGAAAGCCGUACGUUAUGUCCAGCGAAAACCGGCACCCUCUUUCGAUUGAAAAGAGGAGCCGUUAUUACCCGUUGCAACGUCUAAUUUCCAGAGAAAUAAGAAGAAAAUGAAAGAAAACGGGUUUGUUUUCCUUCUUGUUUUUAGAGGAACGACCCAAGAUUUAUUUAGGUUGAAAUAUUUACAGGGAUACAUAUAUCUGCAGGUGGGAAAUCCAUCCAAACAUAUCGCCCAGCCGCAAAGGUUGUGGCUAGUCGAGUCAAUCUAUGUGUUUCCCCAUUUGCUUCGUGUCGCUCCUGACUAAAAGUGGUCACCGAGAACUGUACCCUCAAGGAUCGUUGCAUAUGGACCGAAAAACUUCUCCUCUUGGAUCUCAACGGGUUUGUUUUCCUUUCAGUAGCUUUUGUGGGCCGAGUGUAGCGGGCGAAACAUGGGACUGAUUUGCCCGGCCCAACUGUUGGAUGCAGCCCAAUCUGUCCAAAGUCCAAAUUGACGGGUAAAUUGGGCUGCAUCUAGAGACAGACGGGUUCUCUUUCUCCCUAGUCGGUCCGUCUCGACUCGUGUCUUCCACCUCACGUGUUCUUCUUCUCUCCUCGCCCGUGGCUCCUCCCCCGCUGCUCCUCGCCCGCCGCCUCGCCGGACCGAUGUCAAGCCGGAGAGAGAUCGGGGAGUCGUCUGGCAGCAAGGUGAUUUUCUUUCGCUCCUCCUCCUCCUCCUCCUCCUCCUUGUGCUUCGCGAGUAACGAAAGUGAAACUGCGGUGGAGGAAGAGCUCUGCAGACGGCGAGCGGCGGCCGGGGCGGUGGAGGGACGGCGGAGGGAGGUGCGGCGUACGGGGUAGCGGAGGGACGGACCGGGAUCCGGUGCCCUGCCAGAGCCAGGGCACGGCAUGCCUUGCCCUCUUGUAUCCACCGUCGACAUCGACAUAACCCUCCGCUUCACUCUGACGGGCCCUCCGCUUCGCUCCACUCUUCUUAGUCUUCUUCCCGAGCGAUGUGGUCGGCGAUGGCAUGACAGUCGGCGAGCCGAAGAGGUCGAGCGUGCGGGAGGUCGCCGACGUCGCCCCGCCGGCAUCCACGCAAAAAAAAAAGACGUCGCCCCGCCGGCAUCCGUGCCGGCAUGCCCGUGUCCUCCUCCACCUUGUAUUUUUUCCUCUAGUUGCUCCGCGCGAGGCCGCACCAUGCCUGGCUCCCGGUUGUGCCCGCACCCAGGUCUGCUUCCUUCUCCAUGAGACGCCGCACCGCCGCAAUCAGUGCCUGGCACCGCGUUUCCACAUCAAUCUCAACGUUCUCAUUGAAUCAUCGCUGGAUGGAGUGUGACAACUAGCGACCCCGGACCUAGAGAGAAAGGGGAUCGCAUAGAUUAAGGGGAAAUUGAGGUGAGAAUCAGACGAAGGGGAUGAGAGUUCAGCAAGAUAGGUGGGGAAUUCAGAUUUCAUUCAUCACACAUAGUAUCCACCCAAGCACCCAUCAGCCUACAGGUCUUGAAACGAGCCAUAGCUCUUACAGGUAGGGACACUUGCGCAUACACCAGGUUUACAAGCACAGAGAAGCCCUUUCACUGACCGUGGAAUUCAUCAGCAUCAAGUCCUUGGACUUGAUUAUCGGUGCACGCCGAACUCAAGGCGCGAGGCGUGCCACUUGCCCCUCCUGGAGAAGAAGCUACCUCCCAGAUUAGCGCUUGAGGAAAACGAGUUUGCAUCACAUAAUAAUCCUCCCAGGUAGCGCAAUCAUCUGGUAGAGUGGACCACUUAACCAAGAUCUGAGGAACGGCCGCAAUGCCCUUCUUGACCAUGCGAUGAUGAAGAAUUUCCUAUGGCAGAGGAGCACCUUGUGCCAAGUCUGCAGAGGAGGGCAGGUGGGAGAAUACAUGAGAAUAGUUGGCAGUAAAAGGUUUCAAUUGAGAUACGUGAAACACUAGGUGAAUCGCCGCACCCGCAGACAGCUGUAAACGAUAGGCCAUGGCACCAACCUUGUCCAGCACCUGGAAGGGCCCAAAAUACUUGAAGGCGAGCUUGGGACAGGGACGACUCACUACUGAAGAUUGUGUAUAUGGCUAGAGCUUGAGGAGCACUGAAUCUCCAACAGAAAAGGUGUGUUCAGAGCGAUUUUGUCAGCCUUCAACUUCAUGCGAUUCUGGGCUUGGAGCAACUGCCGGCGGAGCAAGUCAGUGCGAGCUUGUAACUCUGUUGCAAGAUCAACAGCAGGGGAAUCAUCGGACAGAGUCAAACUGGGCAUUGCACCCUAAUUUGGCUCAACUCCAUACAAGGCUUUGAAGGGUGAGCACUUGAUCGAAGAGUGAAAUGUGGAGUUGUACCAAGAUUCUGCCAUAGGCAGCCAGCGACGCCUUCGCUUGGGACUAUCAUGAAUAGCACAACGCAAAUACUAUUCCAAGCAUUGGUUAACUCGUUCCGUCUGACCGUCUGUCUGCGGGUGGUACGCGGUACUGUAGUGCAGCUUCGAGCCCACAUUAGAAAAUAACUCCCGCCAAAAGUUGCUUGUGAAAACUCGAUCACGGUCAGAGACAAUGCUUGAAGGAACACCAUGCAAUUUUACCACAUUGUCGAGAAAUGACUGGGCGACAUGAACUACUGUAAAGGGAUGGCGUAGGGGAAUGAAGUGGCUGUACUUGUUAGACUAUCGAGAACCACCAAAAUCACAUCAAAACCUUCAGAGACCGGCAAUCCUUAUAUGAAAUCCAUCGUGACGUCCAACCAAGCACCACGGGGAACGGGUAGAGGUUGGAGGAGGCCCGCCGGCUUCGAGUGUUCAUGCUUAGAAUGCUGACAAAUCGCACAUUGCUUGACGAAAUCCUCCACACCAGUUUUAAGUCCCGAACAAAAGUAUAGCUUCUUGACCCGCUGAUAAGUGGCGUGGAUCCCAGAGUGUCCUCCAACAGCGUGUCCUCCAACAAUGCUAUCAUGCAAGGCACUGUUUAAAUUGGUCUUUACUCUUUAAGGCAGCAUUAUCCCCAAUCCACAUCCGCCCUUUGUAUUUAAUCAAGCCAUGCUCCAAGGAAAACCCAGCAGCAUCUGGAGAAGCAAUCGCCAACUGAGUGAGUAAGGACUGUGCUGUGAUGUCCGUCUCAUAUGAAUUCAGUACCUCUUGCACCCAUGUUGGGCGACAAACAGAGAGUGCUUGUGUCUCCAGCAAAUGACCGACCCUGGAUAACGCAUCUGCAGCCGAGUUGUCGAUGCGUCGCUUGUACCGAAACGUAAAUUGCAAGCCCAUUAAUUUAGACAUGGCCUUCUUUUGUAACUCGGUUGUCAACUGGUGAUCUCCCGAAGAGCAUAGGCUGCGAUGAUCAGUCACAAUCUCAAUGGGUCCUUGCUGUAAAUACAGUCGCCACUUGUCAAUUGCCAACAUCACAGCCAAGAACUCCUUCUCGUAAAUCGAGAGCUUGUUGUUUUUCACCCCAAGUGCUUUGCUCAGAUAGGCCACGGGGUGCCCUUGUUGCAUCAGUACCGCCCCCACACCAGUAUCACAAGCGUCGGUUUCGAUCUGAAAAGGAAGAGCAAAAUCCGAUAGGGCGAGAACAGGGGUCUGAACCAUAGCAGUUUUUAAGAGCUCAAAAGCAGUUUGCGCCUCGGCUGUCCAAUUGAAUCCUUUCUUCUUUAACAGUGCUGUCAACGGUUUUGCCAAUAUCCCAUAGCGAUGAACAAACUUGCGAUAGUAACCGGUGAGAAUCAGACGAAGGGGAUGAGAGUUCAGAGAGAUAGGUGGGGAAUUCAGAUUUCAUUCAUCAGGCAUAGUAUCCACCCAGCAGCCUACAGGUCUUAAAACGAGCCAUAGCUCUUACAGGUAGGGACACUGACGCAUACACCAGGUCCAACUCAAGACACGAGACGUAACAUGGAGCAGAGGGGCUCGUCGAUGCUCUUUCCUGCGGAGGCAGCGGCUAGUGCCCUUUCACGCGGCAGCGGCGGCCGACGAAGCAGUAUAUGCUGUUUCCCUCCCGUUCUUCUGUGAGGCUGUAACAUCCCAAAUUUUCAAAACCCUUCAUAUGCAUUGCAUUUCAUAAGCAUCAUGCCACCCUUGCAUUUAAUCACAUUCAAAACCCUAAAGUUUAACCCAGAAACCCCUUUAACAAAAGUGCUUUUAUUUGAAUCUGGCUCUUUUCUUGCUUUUGGUUAAUUGCAUUUUGACCCAUGAGGGUUUUGGCAUAAAAAGGGGUUUAAUGCAUUUAUAAGGCUACCCCAUAUUUUGGUGUUUGAUUUGAAUUUGAAAACACUAAAAUAUUUUAAUAGCUAAAAAGCCCUAAAUGCUAGUUUAUAGACAAAAAUAUAUUUAAAUAUUUUAUCUUGAGGGAAUUCUUGUCCCAACAGUUGAAUCAUAUGAAAAUAUGAUUUUACAAUUUUUAUUGCAUUUUAUUUGACUUGAUUUGGAACUUUGAAUCAAAAGAUUGAAUCCAAAACAGAAAAUAGAAAAAAUAAUAAUAAUAAAAGGGUAACGGACCGACCCGAACCGGGCCGGCCCACUUACCGAGCGCGCAGCCCAUCUCCUCACGCACGAGCUGCCGCUGUCACUGCCAUGCGGGCCCCGCCCGUCAGCUCCAUCCCCUUCCUCCAACUUCUCAACCGAAGAACCCGCGCAGGCCGAGUCCACCUCGCCCACGUUUCCACUCCGAUUCCUCCGCGCACACGAUCCCAUCCACGAAACCGAGUGCAUCAUUUUAAAGCCCUGAGCCCCUCUUCUUUUUCCCCCUCCUCUCUUGCUCGAACUCGCCGACAGGCUGCCGGAUUUCCACGUCACCGCACCGCCACCAUCGCCGCCGUUUUUCGCUUGCCGCCGCCGAACCCCGAGGAGGUAGCCGUCGACACCCCCUAUUCCUUCUCCUCUUCCUCUUGCGCAGCUUUUGACGUGGGUACUUUUUAUUUUGGAGCACCGGAGCUCGAGUUCGCCAUCUCGCCUGAAGCUCGCUGGAGCGCGAAGCCGCCGCCGCCCUUCCCGAGCACCAAGUGCUCACCUCUGUCCACGCUGAGGGAGACCGUCGCCGCCAAAACCUUCCUCGAGCCAAGCCGCACCGUUUCCCCUUCUUCCCCGAAGCCGAGGACCGCCGGAACGCCCGGGCCGCCACCGCCGAGCUCGCCGGAGAAGGGAACUCUAGUCGGAGGUGAGCCAAAUCGCGUCCCGUCCGUCCGAUCUCCAUCCUAGGGCUUAGAUAGAAUCACUUAAAUGAAGGGGUACGGAGAGAUCUAGGCCAUCCGAUCCUUUUAAGUUAAAUCCAAUGGCCCACGUUCUUUCUCUUAAUCGAACCGGUAUCGUCCUGUAAGAACGCGCCACGUGUCCCUUUUAAAUAAAACAUUUCCCCAGGCCGAAAAUUAAAAGGAAACUUUGCAAAAAAGCCCCUGAUUAUUCAAACUAUCAUAACUUUUAAACCGUUUGGCCAAAAAUUAUGAUCCGCACCUUUCUGGAAUCCUCACAAAGUGUAGAAUCUUUUGGCAUAGUUUAAUUUUAACUUUGAACAACUUUACCAGAAGCAAAUUACAGAAUGCUUAAUUAUGGUUUAUUAUUCAAAUGAAUUAUUUCAAACUAGUUUUGAGCAUGUUAGCUUGCUGAAAAAUUAUUUGAGUAUGCUCUCUGUCCAUUGGGACUAGAGGGGAAAUUAUUUUGUAAAUAUUUUUGCCACACAAAUUUUAAUCUUGCUCCAUGCAUUACAAAAAUCAAAUAAGCUUUUAAUUAAAUCCCAUCCUUGUUUCAUGCAUGGUAAUUACCUCUUUGUUAUUGUAUAAUAUGUCCAAAUAUUUUAUGAAGCUUUUCAAAACAAAAACUAAACAACUUACAUUUAGAAGUAACCUAAGUGUGCAUCAUCAUGGCAUAUGCAUCAUAGCACGUUUUUGUAUUGAAUGGCAUGUUUAUUGUGUGUGUGUGCUUUCUUUUAUGUUAGAUUGUGUAGAUUGUGAACCUUGUUGUUGCGAAGAGUGCGAGAACUACCACAACCUUGGACAAGACAAGUUCACUUUGAUCAUUUUCCAAAUAUUUUUACUAUGCACUAGUUGUUUUAUUAGAUGCAUUAGGAAUAUUACUCGUACCUCUAUGCUAGCUAUAAAUCCUAGGUAGUAUAGCUUACCCUUGCCAUUACCUUGCUACCAAAUUGCCAUCGAUUGUAGUUGAAUGCUAGGCUAUGGUAGUAUCGUGGGGGAAAUUACUACAUUAUGAUAUUGUUAUGCCUACGAAGAUAUGAAAUGUUUUAUUAGAGUAAGGCAAAACAAUUAAUUCAAUGAACCAUCCUGGGUGGGCUGCUUUGAGGAUUUUGAGGAUUAGCGGCGUCAGGUCCAUUUCUAUGGGUCCCUCUGAGUCGACUUCCCGUGGAUUUGGGAAGGGAUCGUCCAUGGACGUCUCUCCCAUGGAUUCGGGGAGAGCCUACGUUGCAACUGUGGAAUGCCACCUGGGGUAACCGAGACUGGACUAGUUUCCUAUUUAGCAGCUUCCAGUUCAACCACAAUGCUAUAUGGGCUCUGGCGAGACAAGAGUAAGUUGUAUGAACCUAGACCCGAGGAAUUGUAUUGAGGUAGCGUGCGUAGGGGGAGCGUGAUUCUCUCGUGGUUUAGGGAAUUACCUCUGAAAAUCUCGUUAUCGACGCCGUUGCUACUCUACCCUGAGGACAGCAAGGGAUUAACCCGUCGGUUUCUUGUGGGGAAUGUGUACAAACUCUCGAGAGCGUCAAAACUAAGUACUUAGCCGUGUCCCCGGUAAUGGACAAUUUUGAGCAACUAGAUGUGGAGCUGUAAGGAAAGUCUCACUCAUGCUAAUUUCCAAAUAAAAUGAAUGGUUUGAACUUGGGUUAGGAGCAUUGAUGUGUCUACUCAAUGUCCUUAGUUUAAUAGGAGCAUGGGUGUGUCUACCCCAUGUCCAAUAGUGAUAAAAUUUAUUUGAUUUAAAGAUAGGAUUAAACAACUAAGCUUUUAUGCAAAUAGCCUUGAACCCCACUUUGCCACGUUAUGCAUAUACUUGGUAGGUUCUGUUAUAACACCUAGUGAUCUUGCCAAUACAUUCAAUGUAUUGAACCAUCGUUUAAUGAUGCAGGAAGUUUCGAUGAAGAGCAAGAGUACGUUCUGCUUGUUUGGGUUACGGGCCUAUAUUCCAACACGCUCUCACCGUGGUGUUGAUGUAGCCCUUUUAUCUUCCGUUUUCCGCUGCUAAACAGUUGUUUAUUUUCAGCUAACCCAUGGGGUUAUGCGAGUUUGUAAGUACUUUAAAAUUCUGGAUGAUGCGUUGUACUAUUGAGACCUGUGUUCUAUGAUAUUACAUCUUGAAACUGUGUGCUAGUGAGUUCGAUCCAGGGACUAGCACUAAAGCACAGAAAUCGAACCCGUGUACGGGGGCAGUCGCUUCAAAGGCAGUCUCCGUUUUCCUCUUUUCCCCAUGCGUGCGCUCGUUUUGGGCUUGAAUCGCUGCUGGCCGUUCGAUUAAAACGAGCGGUAGAUAGUGGGGCGCAUGGCACACCGUGGUGUCUCUGCCAUAUGGUUUUGCAGUGGCAAGUUGAGGUUUCUUGCCUAUUCUAUUUUUUUUAGUUGAGAUGUGUACUAAUGAUUUUGUCUUAUGACUUGCCAGCAGAUACAGCUCAUACCGUUUGACUUAGACCUGAGAAAUCUUACCAAAGGUUAUCUGAAAUUAAUGUUGAAUAUUCUCAAAGCUUUACAAUCAGAAGUUGACCAUCAUUGGUCAAAACAACCUGCUCUCCAGAGACAACCCAGCAGAGUCGCGGGCAAACUCUACACCUCUAGAGGGGGUGUUUUUAGUUCGACUCAUACUUGAUGGAAGAUGAUAACACUUUUGUUUCGAGGGUCAAAUCUUUAUUUUCUGAGGUUACAAACCAAAGCUACACGUUUAUUCAUUAGUGGUGCUUCCUUUAACAUGCUCGGGAAAUUUGCCUAUAAUGAACAAUGACAAACACAAUCGGGUUUGCUAAUUAACUCUUUAUUCAUUAUCACAACAUUGGUACCGUCUAUCCUACUAGUAUAUAACCGUACUACUCAAUCAUGUUAGCUCAUUUCUUGGUGUGAUGGUUGUAUUGGUACACCUCAUGGGGUGGGGGUCAUUCCUAUUUAUACUGCUUAUACAAGACUGUUGGAUUAUUGCCAACAGGCAACCAUCCAUACACUACACAUAUAAAUAUGUUUAUUCUAGAAUACUCUACACAAUUAUCUUUGUUCUAGAUUCUAAUUUUACCAUGAAGAGUUGUUCUAGUGUCUUCCAUGUUAAAUAAUAUCCCUUUUCAUGCAACCUCUCAAACCUUUUAGAAUAUUUCAAUGUUCUCAUAUUCGCUAUAAGGAUCCUUGUAAUAUCUUAAUCCUCCAAUAAUCCAAAGUAUUCUAGACACUUCUCUAAUUUUGAACACUCCCCCAAUUAUUCAAAGUUUUUUUAGAAUAUUCUCAAGUAUGCAUUACUAAUUCUCAACAAGAGGCAACCCAUAUCUCCGCAGGGAUGUCAGCAAUUGUAACGAUGUAUCAAGUGUUUUCAGCCGAGAUGAAAAUGAUGGACCAUGGAGAGCAGAUGAUCGUCAGCAUCCUGAUGAUAUUGGUACCAUCUCUACUAACCUCUUCUGGGAUUAGCCUCAUGGCUUCAACUAGUGACCUUGGCCUCCACUGUUUUGCAAGGCUUUGCUCGACUCUGUUCGUCAUGUCGUUUAUCAUUUUCAUGUUAGAGGCCAUAGGCUACCGAUGGGGGAUUGCAAUCGCUUGCUUAGCGGCAUUAUUUGGCAUGGUUUUCAUUUUGGUCUGUGGUGACCUUAUUCAAAGCCGCUGCAUAAUGUAUCUGGGAUCUGAUAAAGAAACCGGCCAGAAGGUUCACGAGCCGGUUGGCAAUUGGACAAACAGUACCAGCGAAACCAUUGGACAUGCCAUUGGAGAACCUAUUGUCGAGUUCUUUAUGAUCAUAUAUAUGUUACCUGAUUGGCGGGUGAUAUGAUGUGAGAAGUAGAAUAAUUGACCUCUCAGAAUUGUGUCCACCGUACAACUUUAUUCAAAAGAGCACCAAAUGCAUCAUCAUCUAUAAAGAUAUUGCUUUCUACUAUAGACACGCAAUAUCUAUAAAGAAAUUGCUAUCCACAACUGGCUGGAGAUAAAUUGGAUAUCAUCUAUGUUACCCGAAUUAUUUGAGCUAGUUCAAGGUUCAUCACCUGAAUAAACUGGUUCUCACUAACUUCGUCCCUAAAAAUCAAGAGAAUGGAAUUCUUAGAGAGGGUCAUGGUACCAGAAAAACAUUAGAGCCAUUGUCAAGUAUCAGAGUCUGUCUAUACGAGACGAUCACGCCAAUGCGCCGCGAGUAAUCAUCGAUAGACUACAGUGUCAUGCGGAGGAGGGAGCAAUUUAGACAUGUGUUGUUGGAGAUAGUCGUUCGCGCGAUCAAGAUCCAACUGUGAGAGAGGGGAGAGUGUGGAUAACCCUCAGAUCUUAAUUCAAUGGCUACGAUUCGUCAACUGAGAUUUAAUACAUUUUGCUCAAAAAUCAGCCGACGUAGAACACACCCAUAAGACGUGUAGCACAUGAUGCAACACGACGUGUUUCAAACCAGAUCACUAAUAACCAUCUUCUUCCCCACCCAGAACCCGUGGGACGGGCCGGGCUCCAUCCAUCUCUGCACUACACCGCAAAAGAAUCAACAAUUUCGCAAAGCUUAAGCAUGCGCGCACACAGACAAUCGGUCGAUCUCUCACUCACUCUCAAGCACGGCAUUCACCCCGUCGGCUGGGGAGGCCGCCAUGGCCAAGCAACUCGUAGACCGUACGUGUUCCGGAUCACCACUUUCUCCUCCGGCAGCCUCACCUCCAUCAUCCCGCCAUUACCGCCGCCGCUGAACACGAGCGUCACGGCCAGCCACGCCACCGUGGAGACGUUGUAGCAGGUGUUGAACCCGUCGAGCGACGAGACCGGAGCGGCGGACCUCAUCAUGCACGGUGGCGUAGGCGGGCGGGGUGAACAUGGUGCCGGAGUCGAGCACCGCGGUGAUGGCUUAUCUGCAACUCUGCAUUGAGCAAAAGUCUCAAAAUGUUGCACAUCAUUUGGUGCAACUUGCUCUCCCUGGCCAUGAAAGGGACAGAUCCAUCAGCUAGCUUAGCAUGUACAAACAGCUGCAACAGUACCUAAUCACAAGGUAAAAGUAUAGAGAGAGAGAGAAAGAACUGUAGCACUGCACAGCAUUGCUUUGCACUGGUCUUCAAAGGAAAAAAAGGCAAAGCUGCAAGUAACUAUUGCAUUGGCCUCGACGAUCCAUUGGUUCAAACCGGGCGGCAAAGUGGACGACGAGUGCUAACUUUCACCCACUUAUGUUCUGGGCCCCCAAAAAUAACAAGGACUAGUAGGAUACGUGCGCUUCGCUGUGCCGUUGGCACACUCAGUUCAAAGAACGUCAACUAACAAACAACCACAAACGGAGUAGCGGCCGCCUGAGUGUUCUUCGCGUAUCCAUCAGCGAGACCACUGGACUCCCUCGCUUCCGGUGGCCGUUUGGCUUGCUGGGCGUGCGGGAGACCCUGGAUCUGCGGCGCGGUGGAGUGUUUUUAGUCCUAUUUUUUAGGUUCAGGUGUCCUUUGACGGCCGGCAUGACGGAAGCGCCGGUUGUUGUCGGAAUAAUGUCCCUCCCGCGUCUUCUCCGUCGUGGUAGUGCCUUCUCUGGUGUUGUCACGUGGGGUGGUGUGCUAUGUUCUUCGUCAUUCUGGCGCUUCUGGAGACGGUGUCAUCGUCCUUCCUCCUUGUGCCGUCAUCAAGAUCCUGCCUCUUGCGGCGGGCUAAAAUAGAGGUGGCUCUCAAAGCUUCUCAGCGAUGGUGGUGUCUUAUUCGGUCAGGGCUUCUCCCUCUCCCUCGGUGACUGCGACGGUGAUGUUCGGCAAAGUUCUUGUAUCUUCUUUGUUUCCUCUGUAAUUUUGCUUACUAUGAUAUGAAUACAAGUUUGUUUGCCUCAAAAAAGAAAAAAUAGAACGUCAGUUGCAUAGUUUGUUUGUGCCACGCUGGCAAUAUAUACAACAAUCCUUAAGUUCCCUCCAUGUUCAUAAACGUUUGAUACAGAUUUACACAUAUCAUACAUUUGUGGAGGCCACAUGAUACAUUUGCCACGAACAAAUGAAUACAGAGAAAAUCUAUAAUGAGAUGCAACUUAUGGGACACUUAUAUCUCUACUUUAACAUUCAAGAUUUUGCAAUGAACAUAAAGGCUCAAGUUCAGUGCAUCAGUUUGCUCUAUACAUAUUUGCCUUUUGGAAGGGAAGCUCUCUGGUGUGUGUAGCAGUAUGGCUAAUAGCGUGUGGUUUUUCGCCAACUUCUUCUGGGCAUGUUGUCAAAUAAAUCAAAGCCACUGCAACGGUCUGGAGAUCCGUAACGAGAGCACACUGACCUUUCCCCUGAAUGAAUUCUUUUUGGUUUGAAACAAAAAAACCUCUUGGCACCUGGUUCAAUACCGUGUAACAGAAAUAUUGACAAAUUUUUGUUUAACAAUUGAUGAUCACAGUCGUUCUAGGCCAUACAAUUAAAUUGGUACUCCGUAUUUACGAUGGGAAACCUCACCUUUCCAAUAACCUUUUACUCGUGCUACAUGCAACACAUCAGAAGUGUCAGACAUCUCACAAUAACUUUCCUAAGGUUCAUGGUAUAUUCAUAUAUCAUUUUUUUGGUUCGAGUGUCUAAAUUUAAGAAACCACAGUUUGCACUCGGUGAUCUCUACUCCUACUUAUCAGUGUGCUUUACCAGGGAAAAAAAGUCCAAUACGACACUCGUGGUGACACUUCGGUCCAAUGGCUAACUGGCUAGCCUCUUAUGUAUGGAGGAUUUUUUUAGGCAUACCUACAAAAGUACAUCAAGCAUAAUCUACCAAUCCAACAUUAUUGAAGAGAAGUCACUAUAGUAAAAAUAUGAAAGAACAUGGAGGUACCAACAUUUUACGAUUUGCUACAAUACCAAUCUGUAUACAUACAUGCGAACAAGCUCACCUGUUGAUAUCUUCAGUUCCAUUAUGUGUACGGUCCUGUAGGGGGCUUUCUGGUCACUUGAGUUCUCAAUAUCCUGUAGAGACCUGACAAAGCAUUAUGGCAUGGUUGGUUGGUCUCGCUGCCUGCACCAAUAAGAAAGCUAAUGCAUAAUUUGUAUUAUUCAGAUCAUAUAUGCAGGAACCUUGGGAUAGCUUCUCUAUACUCAGUCAGUAACCAGAGCAGCAAAUGAGUAUCAAAUAUAGAACACUGGCCAUAACUAAUCAUCAUCCAUUUUCAAUUGACAACAUCUGUCCCCAGAGUAGUCACUCAAUUGGUAAUAACAAAAGCUUUGACUAACUUAUGAACAAAUUUAGAAAGAAACCGAAGGAAUCAAUAUCUACAACAAUGGGACUGCAACGAAAUUAUAGACAUCAGAACACUGUGUCAAAGCUGAACAUGACAUUUUUGUCCCGCUCAGCCUAACCCAGGUAUUCAUCAACACAUCAGGGAAAAGGCAUGACUCAAAUGAGGGAAAAACUUAUUCCAAGAAAAUCAUAGGGAUCUCCCGUUGAGAAUGAAUCUACAACAAAAGGAAAAGUAAAUAGAGAAAUUGUUGCUUACUUUAUUUGUUCCUGGUUCCUUUCAUAAUAAUAAGUACGAGCUUACCAUGUAGUUGUGCAGGGGAUAUUGAAGCAUGUUGAUGUUCAUUCGAUCAGAAGGCCAAGAGCAUGCAUUAUUUUGACAAAAUUCAAUAACGUGGAUCAGAAUACAACUGAACAUAUCACAAGCAAGUCCGCAUGAAUAUUUAUUUGUGUGCCUCAUAUGACAUAGCUGAAGGCAGAAGAGUGUCCAAACUUGAGAAAAAAAGACCCAAAGCCCAGUUUCUGAAGCAGGCCUUGUCACCAUUACAGUUCCUCUCUUUGUGGCUCAGCGUUCGGAAUCACACACACACCAUCAAAUUGGGCAUACAUGCAUUUAAAAAGGUGCCAAAUCUGGGUAGGAAAAUCGAAGACAAUGGCUACUCUCAGUUCUCUCUCUUUUAAAAAAAAAAGUAAUUAGCACCUUAGCAUUGCAUAAUAUGAGUUCUACACUCCAGCAUCUGCCUAUAGAGAACUGAAUGGACAUGACAAACUGACAACACGCUAUAAUAACUAAAAGAGGGCGAUCUCUCUUGAAUGAAAAUUCAACGAAUUUGCCAUUAAAAUGACAUGUCUAUCAGUACAAAAUAAAUUAUUCAACUUAAUGCACUUAUACUUGUGUUUGUCUAUGUCAGUGGGUGCAUGGCAAAUAAAAGAGUCAAGACUUCCUAACGAACACUAAAUAGAUAUCUCUGAGGACAUAUCACACAAAAGCUCCAGCCCUAAAUAUGCAUAAGAACAUUGCAUAGUUCUAGAUAAGCUGAAAGAACUAAAUUUGUGCAAUCCACAGAUUUGGGGAAAAGAUGUUGCUUAAGAUAAGAAACUAAAGAGAGAAUUAAUGCCAUAAUUCUGAAAUUCUGAAAUUCUGAAAUAAUUUAAAAAAUUAAGGCCGAACCAUUCAACCUUCUUCUCCUUUCUUAAUCCUCUAUCAUUAAGUACUGCCAGCCUUAUCCUAUCAAAGUAUGGAAAAUGUUAGCGAAGAAAACUGGGAGCAGCAAUAUUUUUGAAGGAAUAUGACUUCUCAGAUGCAAAGGGCGGCCGGCUGGAAUCUGACAUUGCCCGAAUCAUGCAAUCUGACGCUCGAGUUCAUAAAGGACCUUCUGUGAACUCAUAGAGGACUCAGCCUAAGCAUAAGAAUUCAUGAUAGUGACUUCUACAAAGCUGGACAUUGGGCCAAAGAGUCCAACCUCCUUGUAAGAUGCUGACUGUCCAUCAGUAUAGAUCCAAUUAUUCUUUUUCCGGAAUUAUUAGCACCUUGUAGAAUGUCAUUCAGCCAGAUGGAGACCCUGAGAGAGGCUCAUUACAAGACUAUAUUCAGAACACAGAUAUAGCACAGCAACUAUGUCAAAACAAACUGAAUAUGCAACAAAAUCACUUCCAAGCUCCAAUUUCUCUAUACAUUGAUGGUCGGCAUAGUGUCACCGAAUAGAUUUCCUAGAGAGAACCAUCUAGCACACAAGUCUUUCUAACCUAUACCCCUUUUGUUCAGUAAAUUAGAGACUUGCACAAGUGAAGUAUUCCCAAACAAGCUGGCUAUGUAGAUCAAUUUGUAUUCUUAUUUAUUUUUAUUGCAAAGUUGCAUUUCAUAACCCAGUCUGCUGGAUUGAGAUCCUUGCGUUUUAAAUAGGAUGUCAGUUCUCAACUUUAAAGGUCCAAAUUAAUCAAAUGCCACAGUAUCCAAGGAUACUAGAGUAGGAUUUGGUUAUACAGGUGCUCGUUCCCACAAAUUGAUAAGUCAGCUAGAUGAAUUAAACUAACAAAGUAGGGACAGGUACCUACCUUAGACGACAGAAGACUCAUCGUGUGCUGCAGAACAAUCAUGAAGUAAGCACUAACCAGACAAAAAAAUAGAACUAUGAAUUAAACUAACACAGUAGGGGGCAGGUACGAUUUGGACGAUAGAAGACUCAUCCUGUGCUGAAGAACAAUCAAUGGAGUUAUUACACAGCUCAGGUAUUACAAAUCAAUGACCAUUGAAACAAACCUUAGUUCCAAGCCGUUUGUUAUGGCUUCUUUCUACAUAUUAGCGGCAUAAUCUAGUUGAAGCUUGACCCACACAGUCAUAACAGAUGUACUCAAUCACAAGAUUUAAGCUACUGCAGUACGUAGCAAAUAAAUCCUGGAAGAGUGCAUACUCGGGCCUUGUAGGGAAUGCUUGAACUGCAAAUAAAUUUGAUACUACAGUUUAUAGAUAUACAAAUAUUUAAUCAAAGAACUAAAAGUUGUCUCUCGUGUGAGGUGAAAGAUCAUUUGUCUGAACCAGUUUAUAGAUAUAAAAAUAUUUAAUCAAACCCAAGAAACAGAACCGCCGAAGGAGACCAGGAGAGGAAGGAAGCUGCGAACCACACAACCCAAUGCAAUCCCGCCCCGCCGCAGCUCCGCAGAAAAAUCACAAGCAACAAGGCUGUGCUUCGCUGGAGACGGUAACGCAGAGCAUCUAGGAACCCCCACCGGAAUCCCCACCCAACCGCCCCGCUAGAGAGCAGCAAGCGGUGGCUCCGCGGAUCCCCCGAAGACGGCAACCCCGAGCACGAGCCGCUACGGCGCUACCGAGAAUAAAAGGGAAACCCGACGGGAAGAAACAAGCUACAAGAACAGGAACGAAAUCGAAAAAACAUUAACUCCAAACUUCACCUCCGCACCUGCCGGCCGCCCAGCCACAGAAAGAAGCGAUAUGUGAAAUCUCGACCACCACAGCUAACAGAAUCAAAAUCCACCGGGCAGCCACGUAUCGAAACCGCCGCUAAAUCCAACCACCACGGAGAGAACGACCAAAUCAAGCGCAGAUCGAGCAGGAGAAGAAACCCAUCCACCAGAUCGACACACAACAAAACACCGCCGCCAAAUCCUCCACGGGCAGACCAGAGCACCGCUGCCAAAACCUCCUGCGAACACGCCCCGGCCACGAGACACAAACUCCGAUAUAAUCCGCGAUGUAAGAUGUUGCAUGCAACCGGCCGAUUAUAUAGCGGCAGAUCCUUCCUAUCGACCAAGGGAGAAGGAUAGCAACCUUACAGCGCACAAGCCCGAGGACACUCGUCGGGCGUGCAUGCCUGACCACGCACCUACGGCUACAGUAACUGGCGGUGGCAUUCUGGCCGUAAUUAUAUUAGUAGUCAUGAUAGCGACCUGCAAGUUCCUGACAGGCCGAACAAUCCUUCGGCUUUAGGAUUUGGAUGUUACAAGGAGGACGGAUGCUUCGACUCACUUGCGGGUUUGAAUUUAGAGCAUCUCCAUAAUACAUGUCGCUAUUAAGAGUGUGCCAUUUAAGACUUUUGAUGAUGUGAAAAGAAAAAGACAUAAAAAGUGAAAUGGUGUUACUAGUAUAAGAAACUGCUUUGUCUCUUGUACCGAGACAUAAGUAACAACAAAAUGCUUGCUGAAAAGAUCUCUUGUUACUAAAACCUUACUUUGUGGAUCCCAUCCUUUCACAUUCAUCUAUUUUUUUUCAAUCUUAGUAUUAGAUCUUAAUAACCAUCUAUUAGAGAUGUUGUUACUAGUGCAAGAUAAAAUAUGCACUCUCUUCUUAGUAAUGGCCUAAGUAUUACCUUGUUGAAGAUGCCCUAAUGGGCUUGUGCCAUUACUGAGUGUUCCAGGUUUGGGGGCUAUUUGGAUUGAACUCCAAUGAGCCUUGCUAAAAAAUUGGCAUGAUCAAAUUGAGGGCAUGGCCAAAAUGUUGGUAAGUUGUAGUUGUUUGGAUUGCAGGGGCCGUUUGGAUUGAGCCCUGCUAAAAAAUUGGCAUGACCAAAUUCAGAGCAUGGCCAAAAUGUGUUGUUUAGAUUGUAACCAUUGUACAUACCAAUUUUUUUUUCAAAAAUCACAUGUUUCUCUUUGGUUUAUACCCAAAUUUAUGGGUAUUGUUUAGAUAUUAAUUUACAAUAGCCAGGAAAAGGAAUUUGCUACCCGCAAAAAAAUGAAAAAGGAAUUUGCUUUGCAGUUUGGAAAAAAUACCGAAGAGAAAAAUAGGAUAUGAAUCAAUCAAGUUCUGUAUCGGCGAGUGCAUGCGAUUUGUGAACACAAACAACGAUUUGAUACCAAUCAGGCCCGUCGUCCCAUUUUCGAGCACAGGCGCUACUGCCGGCCGCCGCCGUCGCAACUCGCAAGGCUGUCCCCCGUCGCCUCCCUCUUUCCCCCGCACCCACGCCGCUGCCUGCUCCGGCGAGCGCCUCGCCGUUGCAUUUUCCUCAGGUCGCCCAUGACCAUCCCAAUCCAUCACCGGCAACCAUCUCCACCACUGAGAAGAACAGAAACUGAAAAGGCAUGGUUUAGUGAAACCAGAAAUCGCAACGAGUUUGCAGGGGCUUUGGCUGCCAAAUUUUUGGCGAAGGAAUCGAGCGCCGUUGUCUCGCCCACGAAUUGGCGAAAAAAGCACGGGCGCUCUCGGGCUGGUCUCGGCUCGCAAAUUUGUUGGUCGCCAUCCAAGUGCUAGCCGAAUGCUGCGGGCGCAUCAAUUGUUUGGCAAGGCCAGCUUUGGCCACGAAGCAAACGUACCCUUGGUUCCGGGCUUCCAGCAUGCAGACACACGAGGCCAGAAAAUACUUCAAUCUUGGGCCAGCGGUUUCUCGGAAUCCCAGUCCACAACGUUCCGUGGCCAUGCAGAGAGCCAGAGACGCAGCCCACUUUGUCAAACAUCGUGUGAGACUUAGCUGGGCAAACCCCGGGCCGGGCCGAUCUUUAUAAAAGCCCGACGGUCAAACACGAAGCCUGAGCCUGGCCCGGCCCAACCCGAAACACCGAAAAUAGGCCAUUUAAACAUUAAAAUAAUUAUUUUCGGAAUAACUAAAUGAUUUUUUAUACCUAUUUUUCGUAAAAAUACCCAUUUUUAGUCAUUUCGGGCUUUCAGGCCGGGCUUGGGACUGGAAAGGGAGGCCCAAGCCCGGCCCGGGACGUCGAGCCUCAGGCCGGGCCAGCCGGGUAUACUCUCUCCAUUUCACAAAGGUUGGCGUAUUUUAUUUCGUUAAGACAAGUUUUUGAUCAAGAAUUACUUUAUUAACAUGUAACUUAUAUGAUACGAAAUCAUAAUCAUUAGUAAGAACUUUUAAAAACGAAUCCAUUAAUAUAAAUUUCAUGUAUGAAAAAACACAUAUCAAUAGAGUUUUUUUAUCAAAAUUUUGUCUUAACGAAAUAAAUUACGCCAACCGAGAUAGCACGUGAGAUUGAGCAACGGAUUACCUUUGCUGGCUGGAUUGUACAUUUGUAUUCCCUCCGUUUCUUUUUGUUAGACGCAUAUAAUUCUGCACGCAUACCCACGCAAGGCUCUGACUUUAAUCUAGUAGAGUAAACAGCACCACGUACACACGCGGAAGCAUCUUCCAAACGAGCAAACCCAACCCCAACCCCUCACGAGAUUAGAAUAUCUUUUUGCAGAAAGAACAUCUUUUAAAAAAAAAUUUGCAGAAAGAAUAUCAAAGCACUUAAGCACACACAUGGACACGAUCGAGUCAUCGAUCUCUCGGCGGCGCGCGGGCGAACCGGACACGGGCAUUGGGCACGUCGAAGAACACGCGGUGGUUCUGCUUCGGUUUUUUUUUUUUUCAGGGGAAGGUUCUGCUUCGGUGGAUCUGCUACUCUUUCUUUCUUUUUAAAGCUCCCGAUCAGGUUCAGCCGGAAGCGGCCCGUAAACUCCGCCCGCUAAAAAGACAUUUUUUGGCUCAUGCGGCCCAACGCUUUAAAUUUGAUGGGCUAUAUUUACACACUUGUACCCGCCCACGAUUGCCGCCUCGAGCGAAUCACCUCGAGCGAACGAGAGAGCCGUGGCCAGUCCAAAAGGGUGCCUUUUUGCACUCACGAGCACCACACAGUUCUGAUGGUCCUUCGGCAGAAGGCACACACAACUACCAGGAGACUUUCCCAAAAAAAAAACUAUUACAUUGCUAAUAGUAAUCAGUACGAAACGCAUCACAAAUUUCCUAAGAAGAAUUCACGGAGUGCGAUCGAUGCUCUUGGCAUGAUAGUGUUUCUUGGGCAUCGAGGAUUCGAUGAAGACCAAAUUAAGACAGUGCUCGAAAACUCGAAACCGUAGGCGAGGAGUCCAGGUGCACUCCCAAUUCGUACGCGCGUUGGCCUACCAACAAAUACGUGGACUGUACCGUCAACCUGUGAGUAAAUCGACCGAGAUCGAAACGCCACGGCUACAAGUGCAUGCAGCAGGAAAUCAGCAAACAUGAGCGUCCUCUCCCGGCUCCUCCUCCACGGCUACAAGCGUCCGCCGCCCCCGCCGCUGGUUCGCUGCUACCACCAGCGAGCCCCUGCGCCACCGCCGACUCAGACUCACCUCGGCGCCGGUGGCCGCCGCGGGUGGCGUCACGAGCCACGGAAGGCCGCCGCGACGGACCUUGUCGCCUACUCAUCCAUGUUCCUCCUGCCGUACGCCAUGACGCCCCUUCCUCUCCGUAGGAUGAGCUACGAGAGGUCGUGCCCUACACGAACCGCGUGCACCGUGUCUACCUCGACCCCUCAGAGGAGCGCGACUGCGGCGACUCGUGCUUCGAUGACAUCAAGAAGGAGAGCAGGGAAGAUAUCCUUACAUAAGGUUAUCCAAAAUUAAUUUCCGAUAUUCUCAAAGCUUCACGAUCAGAAGUUGACCAUCAUUGGUCAAAACAACCUGCUCUCCAAAGGCAACCCAGUAGAGUCGCGGGCAAACUCUACAUCUCCUAGAAGGGGUGUUUUUAGUUCACCUCAUGCUUGAUGAAAAGAUGAUAAUACUUUUGUCUCGAUGGUCAAAUCUUUAUUUUCUAGGGUACCAAACCAAAGGUACUCUUUUUUUCAUUAGUGGUGCUUCCUUUAACAUGAUUGUGAUGCUAUAAUACUCAGCCAUGAUCAUGCUUACGUAAAAAUAUCUGCAAAUGUUUGGUAUCUAUUGAAUGACUGCAAGAGAGAGUAAGUUCCAACUUCAUGCCAGCUGUCUUAUAAUGCAAUUCAGUAUCUUCGUAUGACAGGGAUUAUCAUGAUAUGGUGGAUUUAAUAUAAAGAUGGGUGAAGAAAUAUUUAUCCACAGCUUUAGCCAACUCGCUAAAAUUGUUGCUAGAGGACUGAGAAGCGCAGGGAGACUACAGGCUCUGGGCCCUUUUUCCUUUCCGGUUGUUGUGAUACCAGAGGCGAUCCGGUUUCCGCUUUUUCAAAAAUGGAUGAAAACUGCUGCUGAGCUACAUGCAUGUUCCGGCACCCAUCCCAGAUGAGUUCACCAUGCACUUUAACUCCUGGUUUGAUUCCAGUACGGCCUUUGCUGCUGUCAAGGGAUUUAAUAUGACAAUGUUAAUGGAGCAAACGGGGGCAACAAUUAUAUAUUCUCUUAAUCGAUAUAUACUAAAACUACGCCAAAACAUAAUGGCUAUGGAUAAACAAUCUUAAUAUGGUUUCUUUUAUUACUUGGUGCAACAAUGUUAAUCAAGUUCCUUUUAUUACUUUGCUGCAACAAUUCAUACUCCUAUUAUAUUUAUAAUACUUCUUGUACAUUGCCAAGGGGCAACCAUCCAAACACUUACACAUAUAAAUAUGCCUAUUCUAGAAUACUCUACACAAUAAUCUUUGUUCUAGAUUCUAAUUUUACCAUGAAGAGUUGUGUGUCUUCCAUGUUAAAUAAUAUCCCUCUUCAUGCAACCUCUCAAACCUUCUAGAAUAUUUCAAUGUUCUCAUAUUCACCAUAAGGAUCCUUGUAAUAUCUUACUCCUCCAAUAAUCCAAAGUAUUCUAGACACUUCUCUAAUUUUGAACACUCCCCCAAUUAUUCAAAAAAAAUUUAGAAUAUUCUCGAGUAUGCAUUACUAAUUCUCAACAGGAGGCUACCCAUAUCUCCGUAGGGAUGUCAGCAAUUGUAAUGAUGUAUCAAGUGUUUUCAGCCGAGAUGAAAAUGAUGGACCAUGUAGAGUAGAUGAUCGUCAGCGUCCUGCUGAUAUUGGUACCAUCUCUACUAACCUCUUCUGGGAUUAGCCUCAUGGCUUCAACUAGUGACCUUGGCCUCAUGCCUUCAACGAAAAAUUGUAUCAAAACGUCAAAUAAAAUGUUGAUGUGUUUCAUGAGCACAUAUGUAUAUAACGAUUAUGAUAUGUUUAUUUUCGUAGGCUAUACUCUGGUCUCUUUCUCUUUUGCACAUGUCUUAUUUCUAUAUCCCGUGUAAAAGGAAGUGACACAUGCUCAAGUCUUUUGCUCGCUACCUCCAGGUUAUCACUAUUCUCACAUGCACCACAUUUCAAAAAUCAUGUGUGAGCGUUUUUUAACUUUUUUGCUAAAUUCAUGAAUUGAUUCUCAAUAUAAUCAUGAAUAAUGAAGAACAUGCAGCAAUGAUAACGUUUAUCACUUCCAUCCGUCCAAGCCGCUCGACCUUCUGUGUGGUGAUGAUUUAAACAUCAUGUAUCGGUAUAUCGAUCAAUAUCAGCAAGCAACGGCAGCCAUCACAUAAAGCAAGCGGCAAUAUAAAUUUUUGCUUAAUGGAUCCUUGCCAUGCUCUCCUAUUACUCCUAUUCCGUACUUUAUUUCUCAAAUCCCCUCUCUCAAUUUUCUCGCUCUCCCUCCGACCAUCCACUCUGAGUGCAAACUCCUCUCACCGUCCCGAUUCAUCCCGCCACCGAACAUCGCGCCGCCAUACGCGGCCGCCCGCUUGUGCGCACCGCCUCCGCUCGUAGAUUCCCACCGCCCGUCCACUCCCGAGCGCACCUACUCCCACUUGCCGCCUGGUACACCUGUGCGCUGCCCGCCUACGUCCUCUCGCAGCCUUGUCCGCCAGUUCGCCGCACCCGCGCGCCGCGCACACACCGUGUCCAGCCACAGCCCCCCCCCCUCGCCAUCCCGGCCUCUGGCUCAUCCCAUCGCCGUCCAAGUCCCGCAGGGAGCCACUAGCGCGCAUGACCCGGUGGAGGCGGCGGUCGGGGCGCGCGACGGAGCUGCGGGUCCGCAGCCGCCUUUCACACACGGCCGCAGCCGACGCGCACGAGCUGGUGGAAGCGACCAAGAGCGGCUGCGGGCGCUGGCGAGAUCCGGAUUGGGUAGGGGUGGUGGUGAGAUUCGUACGAGAGGAGGAGGAGCGAGGAGGUCUCUGUUGGUUUCUUUUUCUUUUUUGGGUGGUACGUGGUUUUUCUGAACCGCGGGAGCCGGGAUUAAAAGACAUGUGGGCACAACGGUGGUAGAUUCAUAAUUUCGGUGAACUGACGUACCACGACGUCCGUACCAUCACCACCAACUCCAAUUUAAUAUAUUGUUUUCGGUGAAGUGACGUACUGCGACGUCCGUACCACCACCACCAACUCCAAUUUAAUAUAUUGUUAUAGAUGUUAUAGAUAUAUGCAAUAUCUAUACCAAUAUAUUAAAUUGGAGCAAAUAUCUAUACCAAUAUAUUAAAUUCGAGUUGGUGGUGAUGAUACGGUCGCAACCGUACGUCACUUCACCAAAAUUACGAAUUUGCCACCGCUGUCACCACUUUUAAUGCAGAAGCGUUUUUUUUUAUCCGAUUGAUUCUAACCACCGCUGUACGUCCUCGAUACUUUCCGCACGACCCUCUCACGUGGGCACGCGGCCCGACCCCUGUCCCCUCUCCGUCUCGCACUUAUCCCCUCGAUCCAUCAUCCCCGAACUCUUCUUUCUCGCACCGCUCGAUCCGCCUCCUCCAUGAAGUCCAACUCCUCCCUUCAUGGACCAAGGACGCCGAGCCCCUGCCCCCUUCCCUCUUCAUCUAUCUGGACAGCUGGCUGUAGUAUGUGGAGGAGAUCGACGGUGUGUUCCGGCAGAGGCGGGGCGAGUCGCGAGCGAGGUAGGUGAAGCUCGGCGGCGGCGCUGCUGUGUGAAGACGGAGGCGUGACGGCAGUGCUGCAGAAGAUCGGGAGAGACGGGUGGCGUCGACGACUAGGUGGAGGCGUAGGACGACACGCUGCCAGUUGCGGAGCGCCUGGGUCCCGUUGACGGCCAGAUCCCAGUGACAAGGAUCCGCGUGGGGAAGACAACAGUGCCGCUAGCUCCUUCGUGCGCCCUCCGUCCGGCCUGCGUCGUCAAGAUCCUCCGGGGCGCCCGCUCCUCGGCGGGCCGGUCGGGCGCCUCCUUAGCUGGUCGUCGGCGCGCCGCGGCUGCGGAUCCGAUGCGCGGUGGCGGAGAUGGGCAUGGCGGUAGAGUGGGCGCCUUCCUCCAGCGACGCCGCAACAACAGAUGCUCCCGGGCGGGCGUUCUGGCGCUGCUACUACCAACGCUUUUCUCUAUUUUUUCUUUAUUUUUGCUGAAAUCUUGGCCUAAUUGAUGAUACAUGCAGACCCUGCUUUCUAAAUUUAAUUAGGACAUGGAUCUGCUCUGAAAAUUCCAUUAAUUUAAUUCCCGUCCGUUUAUGAUUUAGUUUUACCAUUUUUCAGGAUCUAUGUUUUGGCCCGAUUGGACUUGAUCAUAUGACUAAUUGAUGAUGUGCUGGAUCCUUGAUUUUCCUUAAAGAUCAUGGUUGCAACAGGCCCAAUAUAUGUGGCAUGGCAUCGCAGAGAUGCGUGAUAGAGCGAAGGGAGAGCAGCAUCUCGUCGGGGCUAACAUAAUUUUCAUAUGGUCUACCGACUGAAUUAACGUUUUUUCGAUCAGAAAUUUUGGUAACUGUUAAAGUUGCUCUCAAUACGUAGCUACGUGCAAAAGACACCACUUUUGAAAACUUAAGAUAGCAUGUUUUUCAAAAAAAUUCUUCCGUAGCAACGCACGUGGCUUUUUGCUAGCCUAUAAAGAAAUUGCUAUCCACUUAGUAGAGGCCGGCCCAGUACGUGUGUGAUACAAGUACGAGACGUACGUACGUACGUACGAUGACACUCGUGAUCACGCCUUAGAUCGAACACAUGCAAUUAUGCAAACACGGGCUAGCUGGCCAAUAUAAUGACGAGUAUACGAACACUCAAAACCUUAGGCGAGUAGUCCGGGUGCACUCCCAAUUGGCACGUGCGUGCGUGCGUCGGCCAACAAAUACGUGGACCGUACCGUCAAAAAAUCGACCCGUCGAAACGCCGCGGCUACAAAGUGCAUGCAGCAGGAAAUCAGCAAACAUGAGCGUCCUCUCGUGGCUCCUCCUCCGCGGCUACAAGCGUCCGCCGCCGCCGCCGCUGGCUCGCUGCUACCACCAGCGAGCCCCUGCGCUGCCGCCGACUCAGACUCACCUCGCCCGUGGCCGCCGUGGGUGGCGCCACGAGCCACGGAAGGCGGCCGCGGCAGGCCUUGUCGCCUACUCAUCCAUGUUCCUCCUGCCGUACGCCGUGACGCUCCUUCCUCUCCGUAGGGUGAGCUGCGAGGAGGUCGUGCCCUACACGAACCGCGUGCACCGUGUCUACCUCGACUCCUUAGAGGAGCGCGACUACGGCGACUCGUGCUUCGAUGGCAUCAAGAAGGAGCGCGGAGAGGCCGGAUCACAUCCUUGGACCCUCUGACCCUAGGUCCCUAGCACCGUCCGCGUCCGUCGGAUCGCCGAUGAUAUCAUCCGCGGGAUUCAUCUAAUUCUCCCCAACAGCCCUAGCAGUGACGAGGAUAAACCGGGACCGCAAACGCCGGAUCUCAGCGAGCUCGACUGGGAGGUGAUCGUCGUCAGAGACAAACGUGCCAACGCGUACUGUAGGCCUGGCGGCAAGAUCAUAGUCAAUACUGGAUUCCUCGAAUGUUUAGCCACCGAUGCCGAGAUUGUUACGAUUCUUGCACACGAGGUAGUACGGUUUUUCUUAUUUAUUGGCCGGACGGCGGAAGCUUUUGGGUCACAAGUCAUCCAUGCAUGCGUUGUUUUUGUUUGUAGGUCGGACACGCCGUCGCAAGGCAUUGCUUGGAACUGCACGAGGUCGCCUUUGUCACUAUACUACCGCACUUUACUUUAGCAUCUCGCAUAGUAUGUUGCAUUCUAAAAAUGAACAGUCAACUAUCUUACUAGUUAAUUAGCCAAGCCAGCCCAGUUUAUGUCGUCCACUCAUAUAAAUAUCGUUUGGAUAGAAGAUGAUGGUCAAAGUACAAUCUCAUCUUGAAGAGAAGGGGCUAUGGCCUAAAAAUUCUUACAUUUUAAAUUAAGGAGAUCUAUGUGCUCCCAAUUUAUGUCGUCCACUCAUAUAUUGUAGGAGCGAGGUAGAGGCGGAUCAGAUCGGAAUCAUGCUACUUGCUGCCGCGGGUUUCGAUCCACGCGUAGCGCCCGGGGUCUACCAGAAGCUAGGAGAGAUCAAAGGAAACUCGGCAUGGAACGAUUACGCGGGGUCCCAUCCUUCGGGUACGACAAGAUCUCGGCUUUUAUACAAAGCAAGGCGAUGAAGGACGCAGUGGAACUGUACCGCAGAAAGUCGGCGCUAGGGGAGGCUCCAACUGACGUUUUGCUUUGGUGGAAUUCAUAGACUCACCUAUUCCGAGUACACGCAAUGGGACAUCCAAUCCACGAAAUAAUUUGAUCCAUGGACGGCACCGUUGCGGUAAAGAUCGUAAUUCCAGAGGAAUCAUUACCGCAAGGCAUAGAGGGGGAGGUCAUAAACACCUAUACCGUAAAAUCGAUUUUCGACGGAAUCAAAAAGUCUUAGUUCAUAGUAACUUUGUCAUUGAAUUUUGUAGAUUUGUGCCCAUCGGAUUUCUUUUACCAAUAUACAUGUGGUUGGUUGGCUACAUAUAUGGUCUUGUUGCCGGAGCGGUGAGCUAACAUUACAAUUUUAAAACAUCGAGAGUAUUAGGGUUUCGAGGGAAACCGCACGACACACAUUGGGCCGGUAUUUGUAUUUAUAGUUUUAUAUUAGAGGGAUUACAUCGGUAACAAUAUAUAGGUUUACUAGCAAAAGAUCCGUGUGUUGCUACGGAACAACGAGAAAUGUUUUAAGUUUGACGUUUCAUGAACAUACAUGCCAAGAACGAUUAUCAUGUGUUUAUCUGCCGUGAGGCUAUGAUCUGUUAACUGUCCACCCCAUCUCUUUGACUCUCUCCCUCUUGGCAUACGACCACGAACAGAGAAGGCACGCUGAUUGACAAACCGAUCCUGCCCAUAAAUUCUUCGUUUGCCAUCCUUUGUUCUCCUCUUCAAUCAGGUCAUUUUGUGGAGAAACUUUGCUCCUCAACAAUGGCCUUGUUGCUCAUGGUCCCGAUGAUUAACAAUAUGUAGCGAGACAAAAGUAUUCUUGUGAAUCAAAAUAAUCACCAUGACAGAUUGCUAAUCACCACAAAACAGAUCACUAAAGUAGAACAACAAACUUAUUUUUUCUGAAAGAAAUCCUGCAAAUCGGAUGGACCUUUAAGAGAUAAAGGCACCACUCUAGCUAGACUAUAACAGAGUAAUCCCUAUAUCAGAUUGUUUCAAUGAAGCGAAGCCAAAAUUGAAGUAGAGAGAUUACUAAUCACUGAAGCGCAAACCAAUACAACAAUUUGUAACAUACAAGUCAUUGCAAAAGAAAUAUUCCUUUCAACCAAAAUAGUUCCAUUCACAUAGAAUUGGAAGAUGAAUCUCUUGGCUUGCUAUCUUCUCCCUUCUGGUUGCAUAUGCUUGUUGGCCAAACGCAAUAUGCUUCCCUCCACUCUAUAGUUAGCGACGGUGACUGUCAUCUAAUAUGUAAUUAAAGUAACAUAAAUUAUUUCUUUGGUUCUUGCGGCGCGGGGUCACUCUAACUAAAGACAACCUGCUAAAGCGAAAUUGGAAGGGUAGCUCAAAUUAAGUGCAGUUUCUGUCAUGAGGAUGAGACUAUUGUACACCUCUUUUUUGGGUGUCAUGUCUCUUGAUUUGUAUGGUCAAUAGUUCAAAUAGUUUCUAAUCUUUUUUUCCCUCGUGAUGUUUCUCAUAUGUUUGGGUCUUAGUUACGAGGGGUUAAUAAUAGAUUGAAAGCACUUAUUUUGGUUGGGGUUGCAGCUUUAUGUUAGGCAAUUUGGCUAUGCAGAAAUGAUCAUGUUUUCAAUUGCAAAAAAAUAACUUCUCCUAUGCAUGUAUUAUAUUCAUACACAAUUUGGCUCCGUACUUGGUCUAUGCUACUCAAGGCAGCGGAUCGCCAACUGGUUUUGAUGGCGUGCAGCAAGUUAGAGCAAGUGGUCAGGGACAUUUCAGCCAUCAUGGGUGGCGGUCUAGUCACCGGAUUAAAUCUGCUUAUAGUCGUUAUAUUUCUUUUGAUGUAAUAAGUUUGUGGUGUGUUACUUUGGCUGUGUGCGUCUCGGCGCAGAGACCAGAGGUGUGAUACUCUUUGGUUGUAUCGCUCGAUAUAACGUUGAGAUCAAUAUAAAUUUUCAUUUUCGAAAAAGUAACAGAAAUUAUAUGAUCAUGUGACAAUCCAGAUGCCUGACCCUCAAUCUGCAAGUGGUUCGCAAGUCCUCCACCGUCGCCCAGCACAAGCCGUGCCCGUCGACCCAUUCCCCAAACCAAACGAUAUAAGGGUUUAUGCCCCCGCCUUGUCCCUUAUUUAUCUUGUGCAAUGAUAUCGUAAUAUGUUAUGAUUUAAGCACAUGGCUAAUCGCUAUUAAGGUGUCGAGCAGCCCCACUCCCCUGUCUCAGUCCCUGCAUCAGUUUAUCUUCCAGUGUUUCAUCCAAUUGGGCUUCCCUCUGGUGGCCCUAGAGCAGAUUUGUGUGUCUGUCCCCCUGCAUCAGGUGUGUUAUUUUAGAGUAGUUCCAGCAUGUACUGUAUCAUGAAGUCCAUCUUUGUAUGCGAUGAGUUGGAGAAAAUUAGGUACUGAUCCGCUAUACAUACAUAUCUAUUAUAACACAUAACUUCGUCUACAGCUGGCAAAAGAAAAGAGAGCCACGUGCUAAACUUCACAUAAUUUUGCCCCAUACCCUCCCUAAAAUGCUGUACAAAAUUUUCAGAACCUCAACAAGUCCUGUACUACAUCCAGAUCUCCAAAAUUGGAAUUUUGACGAGAUUUUCAGACCGACAAACUCCUUUCCUAAGUUAGUUUCAUCAUGGUAGCAAAAUUUCAUUAUUUCGUUAUCUGUUUUUCACAACAUCUAUGUGUGUUGCUUUGAUGAAUUUAUACCAUGCUGUAACCUAUAGUGUCCUAAGCUUUUUAUUUUAUCUUUCAAUGAUGCAUAGUCAUUUAUCAACAAUAUUUCAUAUAUCUGUAAUAUCUAUGAAUUUUCGAUGCAUCAACCACUUUUUUUAUAAACGAUGCAUUAACCGCUUUAGUUACCUGCCUACUAAGCAUCUACACUCUAAAACUGGUUUGCUGUAGUCAUAACUACAAAGCAUUUGUUGUUUACAGAGCAUGUAUACUCUGAGACUGCUUUUCUGCAUCCAGGACCAUCAGGCAUUCCAUACAGCUGCGUCCAAGAUGGCCACGCUUGAGCAUGUUACGGGUGUCAAGCCAGUCGACAGCAAGCAAGCAACCAAAUAAACACUUUAUGUUUCAUCAUGCACUUAGUCUUCCAGAGCUUCUUCAUGACAGAAUGAUCCAGCAGAGAAGCAAAGUAGUGCUGAUAAAAACAUCAAGAAUUAGAGAAAAAUUACAGCCACAUUUGGGUGCGUCCACGGUUUCGGCGGAAUUGUUACGGACGAAUUCCUCGUCAACAAAGGCCUUCGUGACCUCCUCGGUGACAAUGGAGGGCUCCCAGUUCACCAAUGAAGAAUUAAUCAAAGUUUAAGCCCACACGCACAGUCCAGACAAUUAAGUCGAUCGAUCUCUCACUCACUCUCAGGCGAAGGCGGCGGUGCAGCGCUCGCGGGCGAAUCCGACACGAGCGUUGGGCACGUCGAAGAGCACGCGGUGGUUCUGCUGCUGCAGGCUCCCGAUGACGUUGAGCGCCGCGUUGACCCCGUCGGCCGGGGACGCCGCCAUGGCCAGGCAGCUCGUCGACCCGUACGUGCUCCGGAUCACCACGUUCUCCUCCGGCAGCCUCACCUCCAUCCCGCCGCCGAACACGAGCGUCACGGCCGGCCACGCCACCGUGGAGACGUUGUAGCAGGUGUCGAACCCGCCGAGCGAGGACACGGAGACCGAGGCCCCGCCGCCGCCGCGGCGGCGGAGGCUACCGGCGACGCGGCGGCGGACCUCGUCGCGCACGGCGGCGUAGGCGGGCUGGGCGAGGCGGGCGAACAUGGUGCCGGAGUCGAGCACGGUGCCGGCGCCCGUGGCCGCGUCGAACGCCAGCGCGGACGGCGGGAUCGGGACGCUCUUCUUCCCGAUGCGGACGCCCGUCAUGGCCACGUAGUACAGCGACGGGCGGUGCGGACUGGCGAGCAGCGGCGUCGUCUUCAUCUUCUCCGGCGCCGGCUGGCCCUUGCGGCCGAGGGUGAGGGAGCCGGAGAAGUUGGCGGCGGACCUAUAGUAGCUCGGGAGGCAGUAGGAGAAGGUCCCCUCGUAGAUCCCCUUUGUCUGGGCCACGAAGCCUAGCGGGCCUCGGCCCAGCC
rnacentral:lncRNA from 1 species